rnacentral:rRNA from 1 species
UACGGGGGGGGCAAGCGUUGUUCGGAAUUACUGGGCGUAAAGGGCUCGUAGGCGGCCAACUAAGUCAGACGUGAAAUCCCCAGGCUCAACCUGGGAACUGCGUCUGAUACUGGAUGGCUUGAAUCCGGGAGAGGGAUGCAGAAUUCCAGGUGUAGCGGUGAAAUGCGUAGAUAUCCGGAGGAACACCGGUGGCGAAGGCGGCUUCCUGGACCGACACUGACGCUGAGGCGCGAAAGCUAGGGGAGCAAACGGG